GAUGAACGCUAGCGGCAGGCUUAUCACAUGCAAGUCGAGGGGUAGAGGCUUUCGGGCCUUGAGACCGGCGCACGGGUGCGUAACGCGUAUGCAAUCUGCCUUGUACUGGGGGAUAGCCCAGAGAAAUUUGGAUUAAUACCCCAUAGUAUUUUCGGUUGGCAUCAACUGAUUAUUAAAGUUUUUCGGUACAAGAUGAGCAUGCGUCCCAUUAGCUAGUUGGUAUGGUAACGGCAUACCAAGGCUACGAUGGGUAGGGGUCCUGUGAGGGAGAUCCCCCACACUGGUACUGAGACACGGACCAGACUCCUACGGGAGGCAGCAGUGAGGAAUAUUGGUCAAUGGUCGCAAGACUGAACCAGCCAUGCCGCGUGCAGGAUGAAGCAUCUAUGGUGUGUAAACUGCUUUUGUACGGGAAGAAACACUGCUACGUGUAGCAGCUUGACGGUACCGUAAGAAUAAGGAUCGGCUAACUCCGUGCCAGCAGCCGCGGUAACAC
rnacentral:rRNA from 1 species